GCGUAGCUCAGUUGGUUAGAGCACCACCUUGACAUGGUGGGGGUCGUUGGUUCGAAUCCAAUCGC
rnacentral:tRNA from 4 species